rnacentral:rRNA from 1 species
CCUACGGGAGGCUGCAGUCGAGAAUCAUUCACAAUGGGGGAAACCCUGAUGGUGCGACGCCGCGUGGGGGAAUGAAGGUCUUCGGAUUGUAAACCCCUGUCAUGUGGGAGCAAAUUAAAAAGAUAGUACCACAAGAGGAAGAGACGGCUAACUCUGUGCCAGCAGCCGCGGUAAUACAGAGGUCUCAAGCGUUGUUCGGAAUCACUGGGCGUAAAGCGUGCGUAGGCUGUUUCGUAAGUCGUGUGUGAAAGGCGCGGGCUCAACCCGCGGACGACACAUGAUACUGCGAGACUAGAGUAGUGGAGGGGGAAGCGGAAUUCUCGGUGUAGCAGUGAAAUGCGUAGAUAUCGAGAGGAACACUCGUGGCGAAGGCGGGUUCCUGGACAUUAACUGACGCUGAGGCACGAAGGCCAGGGGAGCGAAAGGGAUUAGAUACCCCAGUAGUC